ACUGUUAAUCAUUCAUUGAUUAGGAUGCCUAAUUGACUCUUAAUCAAAAUAAAAUUUAGAUACACAAAACUAAUUAUUUCUGACCAUACUCGAGGAUUUGAUUAAUUUCCUUCUCCCCCAACUUAAUCUACAUUGUCCUCAAUGGAGUAGGAAAGCAAAGAAAAUAAAAGGAGAGAGUGCACCUGAGAUAAUUUUUGCUUCGGAAGUU
rnacentral:lncRNA from 1 species